UAGUAAUAACAACGAUAAUAUUUCUGC
rnacentral:sRNA from 1 species